AAAGAGAAAAGCAAUGUAUAAAGAUUAGAUAAGAUGCAUUACAGGAAGCUACUGGUUCUGGUAUGCGCACCUUAUGAAUGCCACUACAUAGCUUUCCCACCUUAACUCUAUCCGUUAAGAGGGCCAGAACAAACAAAACAAAUAAUGGAACAUGAUGUUCAUGCAUUUUCAUUAUUGAUAUCUUUAGGGUAUAAAAAUCAUCGACUUUGAUAAUAAAGAACUGCUCUUAGUUGACGAUAACGUCAUAGGCUUUAGUGAUUGUCAUUGAAUUCAAGUUUUUCGGGACAUUUGAUUGAUGACUGAAUGAUUGAAACAAAUCUAGUGAAUGGAAUUGGAAUGUAGAUAUCGUCACCUGUGUACCCCAGAUUGCACUACUCGCGAACCUGAAUGUGAAAACACAGCUAAUUAUCGCACCUUUCUUAUGUACAUUGCUUUCUAGCGAGCCACUCUAAAAUCUUAUGGUGCCUUUUUGUUUGCUUGUCAUGGUCAGAGUUCCUUAUCGCGCUACAACUCUGGAGUGGAUGUGUGAGUUAUUUGUUUUACGUACAAGUGCCAGAACUGUGAGAUGCCAGCAAGUGAUGAAAAGGAAUUUCAGAUUCAGGAAUGAUCUCUCAGAGUCCAAGCAAAGUUUCAGAUACAUUGACUCUGUUACUUGUUCAUGGAAUCUGUGGACUUGGUUUAAGCAUCAAUUGUGAAGUGGUAAAAAAGAGUGACUGUGAAUAGAAUUUCCAAGCAUGACGUGGACAUGCUGGAGUGGUUAUCGUGUCUAUAAAUAGACAAGAGCAUUGUUGAGUUCCUUCCCUUUGCUCUUUUUUCCUUUCUCCACAGCUAUUUCUUCUGAUUACUUAACAUCGCAUGGCCUCUGUGCAACUGUGCUUCCGCCUUUUCAACCACGCUACUUCUGAUCGUGCUACACGGUUUGUACAUAGAUGCAUGAUACUUAAAUACUCAUAUGUUUAUACAUUUACUUAAGAUGUUAUGUACUUUUAAUUGUUAUAUAUUUGAGCUGUUUGUUCUAGUAAGAAUUGAUCAAUCAAAUUUCAGCAACACUUGAGGGUCGUUUAGAUGAUGGAAUUCCAAUCCAGUUAAUGAAGAUGAGAAUGAUAUUUAAGUACUUUUAUCUGGUGCAAUUUCUUUUAUAUAAAUGAAUUAAAUCCAAUGAUUCAAACAACAGAUAAGUCUUUGAAUACUUAAAAUAAAAUUUUGCCUGCUGUACCAGGACUUCAUUUGGUCAAUCUGUGACUGCUGGAGGAGUGACGUAGAGAUGUUUGAGUCCGGGUUUGGAAUAUAAAGGUAUCAUCCAUAGGUCGAGAGGAUUGAGUAUCAUGUUGAACUUCACGAUUAGUUAUAUGGCAGACAAGGAAAUCAGUUCUUUAUCAGCCCUUGAUCACUUUAUAAUCUUCAUAUAUAGCAUGACCAGAUUGUAGUUUGCAAGCAAAGUGCUUCACUGGUACACAAUACAUAUUUAUAGUUAAUUGAGAGAUGGCUAUAAGUUUUAUCACAAAAGAUAGUAAACUUCUUUAUAAGUGUCUCUUAACUUAUACUUGGCUGUGAAACUCAUAAUCAGAACAGGGAAACACGCAGAAAAGUAUAAUAUAUGUCAACUAAAUUUAAUUAGGUGGUUCUGUUCUGUAUCAUUGAAGAAUACUAGUCAGAGAACCUUAUGAUCUAUAAGUGAUAGCCCUGAACCGUAUCCUACUCUUCCUGGUUGCAGGAGGCCUAAUCAGUAGUUAAUUCAUUUCCUUUCCUGGAAAUCAGAAGAUAUUUACAUGUAUUCAUUAGUUUAGCACCAACUGUAUGGUUAAUUUGAUAUUUUUGAGAUUCUCAGAUUCUUUUAUAUAACAAUCUCCGUUUAAAUAUCCAUUAUUAAAUGACCUGCCACAGCUUAUCAGAGAUUCA